rnacentral:rRNA from 1 species
UACGUAGGGGGGCAAGCGUUGUCCGGAAUCAUUGGGCGUAAAGCGCGUGUAGGCGGCCCGGUAAGUCCGCUGUGAAAGUCGGGGGCUCAACCCUCGAAUGCCGGUGGAUACUGUCGGGCUAGAGUGCGGGAGAGGCGAGUGGAAUUCCCGGUGUAGCGGUGAAAUGCGCAGAUAUCGGGAGGAACACCAAUUGCGAAGGCAGCUUGCUGGGACGGUACUGACGCUGAGGCGCGAAAGCGUGGGGAGCAAACAGG